AAGAUGAGAUACAUCCACAAUACACACCUCCCCUUCGAAGGUCAGAUAGAGUGCGUCAAGCACCUCUGAGAUAUAGUUUUAUCAUUGAGAAUGAUAAUUCAAUCAAUAUCAUUCAAGAUGAUGAUUCACUGAUCUAUUCGGAAGCUGUCAUGAGUAGAGACUCAGACAGAUGGCUGAAAGUCAUAAAAUCUGAGAUAGACUCGAUGAAUACCAACCAAGUGUAGAUCAUGAUUGAUGCACCUG
rnacentral:lncRNA from 1 species